rnacentral:rRNA from 1 species
GAUGAACGCUAGCGGCAGGCCUAACACAUGCAAGUCGAGGGGUAACUAGAGUGAUAGCAAUAUUACUUUGGCUAGACCGGCGCACGGGUGCGUAACACGUAUGCAACCUACCUUAUACUGGGGAAUAACUUCGAGAAAUCGGCGCUAAUACCCCAUAACAUUGCGAAGAGGCAUCUCUUUGCAAUUAAAGCUCCGGCGGUAUAAGAUGGGCAUGCGUCCAAUUAGCUAGUUGGUGAGGUAACGGCUCACCAAGGCUACGAUUGGUAGGGGUUCUGGGAGGAUGAUCCCCCACACUGGUACUGAGACACGGACCAGACUCCUACGGGAGGCAGCAGUGAGGAAUAUUGGUCAAUGGACGUAAGUCUGAACCAGCCAAGUCGCGUGAGGGAAGACUGCCCUAUGGGUUGUAAACCUCUUUUAUAAGGGAAGAAUAAGUUCUACGUGUAGAAUGAUGCCUGUACCUUAUGAAUAAGCAUCGGCUAACUCCGUGCCAGCAGCCGCGGUAAGAC